CCUACGGGAGGCGGCAGUAGGGAAUAUUGCUCAAUGGGGGAAACCCUGAAGCAGCAACGCCGCGUGGAGGAUGAAGGUUUUCGGAUUGUAAACUCCUUUUGUUAGAGAAGAUAAUGACGGUAUCUAACGAAUAAGCACCGGCUAACUCCGUGCCAGCAGCCGCGGUAAUACGGAGGGUGCAAGCGUUCCUCGGAAUCACUGGGCGUAAAGAGCGCGUAGGCGGGAUAGCAAGUCAGAUGUGAAAUCCUAUGGCUUAACCAUAGAACUGCAUUUGAAACUGUUAUUCUAGAGUAUGGGAGAGGUAGGUGGAAUUCUUGGUGUAGGGGUAAAAUGCGUAGAGAUCAAGAGGAAUACUCAUUGCGAAGGCGACCUGCUAGAACAUAACUGACGCUGAUGCGCGAAAGCGUGGGGAGCAAACAGGAUUAGAUACCCUGGUAGUC
rnacentral:rRNA from 1 species